UUUAUUGAAACAUGGCAGAACACGUUGCACGGUUUACACGUUAUAUCCGUGUGUAUCAAAGCACAACGAACGAAGCAAAGCGUGCAAGCAAGCUAUAUCUUUAUUCUCAACGAGUCGUGGCCAAUAAACGUCAUCGAUAAUGGUUCCUGCAUUCAUAGCUCCAAGCGAAUAGAAGAAAAACGCCAAACGAGAUCUCGCUUGCUUCAUUCUUAUCCAUUGUCUGUGCUCGACGAAGAGAGAAAAAGAGUCAUGGGCCGGGAGGGGUGUUGGCGGAAGAGCGGGAGGGAGCUUACACUCAAACCCCCCCGCCCCCGCAUCAACCCAAUCCUUUAGUUCGAACAUGCUGAGUCAAGCGAAAGAAUUUAAAUCUCAACGCAUCCUGUCUCUGUUUUACCGACUGUACUUUCAUUUUUUAUUUUUUCUUGGAAAAAGAUAAAAAUUAAUGUUUAAAAUCAAAUAAUACUAAGCAAAAAAAAAUUGAUUAAAUAUUUUAACAAUUAAAUGAAUAGCGUUCAAACUACGCUAUAAGAGAAAAUUUAUUUUAACAAAAGAUAUUGCAUUUCAUAAAACAAAAAAGAUUGUAAAAAGUAAUGAAGAUAAAAAGGAAUGAAUAAAAGAGAAAGGGAUUGUAUUUCGGUGCUUAUAACGAGUGGGGUUGGUAUCUCGCGAAAGCCAUGACGUUAUUCGAACAGCUUCGUAACGGCUCGUUUUAAUACCGUGUUUACCUCUAAUUCCGCAUUCGUUUACGAUACUAACAAUUUGCAAUGGAAAUCAUCGGUACCCAAAUAUUCAUCUGUGAUGGCACAUACAUCGUAAACUGUGUGUGUGUGUGUGCGUGCGUGUGUAUAUAUACAGUUCGUGAUGUAAACAUUAAAAAGAAAAAAAAUAUAUACAGUUAUCUUCUAUAAUGUGUACAGGUUCCAUUUCUCAGAUAUUCAGAAUUGACGAAAAGGUGUUAAUUAUUGCGAAGAAAUCAGCAAAUAUCAGUACACAUUAUUGGCAGAGUUUAAGGAAAAACGUUCCAACAUUUUAAAAAUCUAACGGGAAAUAGAAAAUAAAAAAACACGAAAAAAACACGUAUGCAUAUGAUAAAUUCGAAACGAAAAAAAAUAAAUUUUCAGAAUGAAUUCGACAUGCGACGACAUUAUCAAUGCACGUACAUUUUUGUCAUUUCAACCGUAUCAAGAUUGCUGUUAAUAGUAUAACGAUACGCAAACUAUAAAUAUACAAUAAAUAUAUAAUUGAUAUUAUAUAACUUAAAGUAUAAAAAAGUUUGAGCGAUAAUUAUUACAUUAAAUCGGUGAUAUUCUUUAAAGUGAAAUAUUCUCAAACACAAAGGUGAAAUGACGAUCGAUUUAACUCGAGCAUCCGCUCAUUCGUCUUAUUAACUUUCAUGGAUUAUGGCUUUCGUACGGUCUCUGUGUUACCGACGGAGUGUAUUAAUGUCACUUUCGUGACCAAUUCUCACACUCUGCUCUGUUAAUUGAAUUUGAAAAAAAAAAAA